rnacentral:misc_RNA from 1 species
GAUGUGUAUAAGAGACAGGUGAGUCAUCGAAUCUUUGAACGCACAUUGCGCCCGCCAGUAUUCUGGCGGGCAUGCCUGUUCGAGCGUCAUUUCAACCCUCAAGCCCAGCUUGGUGUUGGGAUCUGUGUGCAAACACAGUCCCCAAAUUGAUUGGCGGUCACGUCGAGCUUCCAUAGCGUAGUAAUUUACACAUCGUUACUGGUAAUCGUCGCGGCCACGCCGUUAAACCCCAACUUCUGAAUGUUGACCUCGGAUCAGGUAGGAAUACCCGCUGAACUUAAGCAUAUCAAUAAGCGGAGG